rnacentral:rRNA from 1 species
GGCGGCGUGCCUAAUACAUGCAAGUCGAACGGUCUUUCUAUGGAAGCUUGCUUCCACUGAGAAGAUAGUGGCGAACGGGUGAGUAACACGUGGGUAACCUGCCCAUAAGAGGGGGAUAACAUCCGGAAACGGGUGCUAAUACCGCAUAGUUUCUUGAUCGCAUGAUCGGGAAAGGAAAGACGGCCUUUGUGCUGUCGCUUAUGGAUGGACCCGCGGCGUAUUAGUUAGUUGGUGAGGUAACGGCUCACCAAGACGAUGAUACGUAGCCGACCUGAGAGGGUGAUCGGCCACAUUGGGACUGAGACACGGCCCAAACUCCUACGGGAGGCAGCAGUAGGGAAUCUUCCGCAAUGGACGAAAGUCUGACGGAGCAACGCCGCGUGAGUGAAGAAAGGUUUUCGGAUCGUAAAACUCUGUUGUCAGAGAAGAACAAGUUGGAGAGUAACUGCUCCAGCCUUGACGGUAUCUGACCAGAAAGCCACGGCUAACUACGUGCCAGCCGCCGC